UUAAUAUUCUGGUUAUCAUGCAAGAAGUCUUGAUGAACAAGUUUAAGCAGUGUGCAAACAACGUUACCUGCUGAGAAGUGUUAAGGUCAGCAAUAAUAUUCUUACAUUCCCAGCUAUGUGUUACAAUAAGGUAACACUCCAGUGGCAUGGGUCAAAGGAAAACCAUAGCAGUGGAUUUGGCAUUAGACAAGGACUCCUUUCUGCUGCCAGGAAGGUAAGAGCAGGUGUCCCAGUGCUACUGGCCAAUCCUGACCUACACGUCCUGGGGCACAGCAGGGUGAAGAGGAUGCAAAGACCAAGAACGGCAGCACUAAAUCAGCAGUAACUUGACUGAAAAAAUGACUUCUGGUUAUUCAAGAAGAAAAUCACUCCAGUUUGCAAUCCAAGUCCAGGGAAGAGCACACAGACCAGAGUUUGUGCUCCAGGAAAAGAGGUUGGACAACGGCUUUCCAUCAUUAAGCUUUUCCCCCAAGUUCCUUUGAUACCUUUCAUGCAGAGCAGCCAGGAGAUGCAGCAGCUCCCUCACCCUGACACCUCUGCAUAAUUCUCGCCUCCAAAAUUUCCUCCAACAGAAAAUCCAAGUGCUCAGCCCUCCCAGCCCAGCACAUAUGCUGCUGUAACUGUUUCCAGCCUGUUUCUGCAACAGGAGGGACAAGAACAUGAAAUCUGACCACCAAGUGCCUCAGAAGGGUUUGGACUGGUCCAGGCUUCAAACUGCUUACUGUAGGAACAAGGAGGACAACAACCAUAGAUCUACAUUUGUUGUCCACAGGAGAGAAAAUGUUGCACCACUUGCUCCAAGGCACAGCUCGUGCAUGCAAUGAAAAAGCUAUGCUCCCUUCAGCAAGAAACCUCCUAGGAAAGCACAAAGCCCUACCAGCUCAUGUUUCAGGAGGCCAGACGAACAAAAGGCUUAGCAGAGGUAAUUACCUGGAGCUUUGGCAGAGUGGGGCCGUGCUUGCUUGCACACAGGCACUGUGCAGCCCUGCCUGCUCUCAGCGCCCAGCUCAGCGUGGCUUUGAAAUUGCAAUGUGCUUCAGCUGGACUGGCUUUGGGGGAAGGAAGGCUCAGUCAACACCGCAGCGCACGUGGCUGGGAAAGCUUUUUCUAUGGUGGUUGGUUUGGUCCUAAUUUGUCAGUAAAGCAAAGUAGGUCAGGUAGGGGGAAGAGUAACUCCCCGCUCUGGGCAGCUGGAAAAUGUCAGGUUGGAAAAAGUAUAAUGCAGGAAGUUCCUAGAAUUUGGGGGCUGGAAUUAGGUGAUCUCUGAGGUCCCUUCCAACCUAAGCCAUUCUAUGACUUAUCCGGAAACCCUGAAAGCAAAAUGUUGGGAUGCCAUGCUGGGUGUCCCAUGAAGAGGAGCCAGGAGCAGAUGACCUCGGUGCUGCAAAAAUGAAGUCAUGACAUGGUGGCUGACCCCUGACAGCCUGCUGCCUACCUGUCCCCAACAUACCAUUAAUAAUUUGAGCACCAAAACUCAGCCACAUAAUUAGCAGAAGAAACUGAGGGCUCCUGCUGCAAGGCUCGGAUUAAAUUAGCCAUUUAUGGAUUUCUGAAAGAAAGGAGACUAAAAUGUUUUAUAGUGUAGUUAAAAGAUCCAUUGAAUGAUUCCCUCAUGUUGAACAUUUCCUAAUGUCAGAAGGAGGGUGGAUGACAUAGAAAUCAUAAAUCCAAUCGAGAAGUGUUAAAAAUCACUUUACUCUGCCAACUUACUAGAAAUUCAAUAAAACGGUAUGGGAGA
ensembl:lncRNA